AGAGAUGUCAACUUAUUGGCUUCACCUGACGCUAUGGAUUUUCCUAUUCUUUAAGAUGUUCGUGUCAAGCAAAGUUGCGACGCCGAUAAAGAGCAUUAACCGUUGUUCCCCUACGGAAAUAUACACAUGUCGAUUUUGUUUUGAGCCCUCUUGUAAGCAGGUGCUAUACGAUAGUGAACCAUGCCCCACAAAAUGUGAAAUGGUUUGCAACUGUUUGCCUGGUUAUGUGCGUAAGAAGAAAGAAUGCGUAAAAAAGGAAAAAUGUUGCGUUGGUCACAUAUGCAUUACCAAAAAGGAGGAGGAUAUGAAAACGAAAAUUUCAGCUAUAAAUUUUAUUCCGAAAAAGCCAUGAGUAUAAACUUUUUUUUAAACGAAAUAUAGCAGAUUUUUCAAAACUCGAA